AAGUACAUUGAUCCUGCCAAACAGCUUCAUUCCAUUAAUUGGUUUUUUAAAUUUAUUUUUCAGAAGUGGACAAUGGUGAGCAAUUGUUUUUCCAGAGCACAGACACCCAUGAGUUUAGACCUAUCUUCAGUAAUUAGCUUUUCCAAAUAUUCCCAUCUACCUAGGUAGACGUGUGUUUUAAAUCAUUUUCACCUGAUGCUCUUUCUCUUCC
rnacentral:lncRNA from 1 species